CCUGGGUCUUAAGUACCCAGCAGUUUUGAAAAGUACUUCCAUUUAUCUGGGCUGUCCCAAACCUUCAAAGACUUGUAAAAGGACUGGCGAGAUUUUAACCUUGUCCUCUGAGACUUAGAUACUUAAAUUAUCCCUAAACUCCCCAUAAACACUAUUCUGUAAAGUUGAAAACAAAGAGAUACUUCAAGGUGUAGUUCUACAUUUUACAUCUUAAAUAGACUAUAUGAAAAACAUUCAUAAAACACAGAAAGAGGCCCUGGAGUACUCCCGAAGGAUCCUAAUUAUUGAACCACACAAUUAUUCCUCCUUUCAUUUUCAAUACAUGUUGCUUUCACUUCAUUCUAGCCGUCCCAAUGCAGGAGCAAAAAGUACUUAAGAGAGAAUUCAGAUUAGUUUCCACACUGAGAAUUAUUAUGCUUUCACAGAAGAUAGGUGAAAGAGGUUUUAGUCACUCAUAUUGACCCUAUUUCCUUAGUGAUGCUUUAUUGACUAGACCACUAGUUCUGAGCUCACAUCACUGAAUUUGGUGGAACUUACAGUGGCUUCUAGCUUUGUGCCCAAUGCCAUACAUCUAGCAAGGGUAUGUGUUGAAUUCUGCCUUAGAGAUCACAGGUCUGAAACAGGUCUAUGCAGAGAUACUUAAUCUUCUACAAUACAUUUAUUUACCAUUUCUCCUAUUUUAUUUUUUUCCGAUAGUUAAAGAAUAAAUAAUACAGAUAACAAUUAAACCAGCCCUGUACAAUCCUUUCCUGGUACAGGACACACGACUUGGCUGUAAAGCGUUUAGACUUAAAUGCACUUAACUGAAAUACUCAGUUUAAGUGACCAGCUGCCUCAUUCCCUCUAUAGCCAAACAAUAGGCAGUCAGAUGUACAUAGUAAUUCACAUAUUCAUCAUCCCACAUUGGGGAUAUCUAUCUCUUUUUGAACUGUGCACAACUGGAUUCCAAACUUUAUGAAGUCAAAUGAGUUAAACAGGACUAAUGCCAAACAUUUUUUUAUCCUUCUUUUUUUUGUGAUAAUUACCAUUACAUUCCUAUCAUAAAAGUAGUACAAUGAAUUAUGCUGAAGUACAAUUGAAGUGAGCCUCUUGGUUUUUUGUGAAAUUUUCUAUACUCACAUCCUUAGUCUUAUUCUUACCAUUAGCUCGAAAUGGUUUUCAGUUGCAUAACACAGUGAAUAAAAUGUGUUUUCUUGUAGCCAAAAUUAAUGAUUAGAAUCAUAUCAGGUGGCAGAGUCAAGUGAGAGAGAUGCCACCUUCACUCAAUGUUCAACUUUAUUCACAUCUUUCCUCUUCUGAAUCAACCUGCUGCCAGCUUUCUUCACUAUUAAAAUCACUGUAUCUUGAGGUUUUUUUGAAGACAUACAUUCAGGUCUUAGAUUAUAUUGAUAAGCUAUCAAAAAAACAAAAAAAAAGCCCAAAACAACCUCCAAAUACAUUGUGAGCAUGACUGCAUGAAAUAAAGGCAGGUCUGAUGGAUGUUUAAAUAAUGUAAAUGACAUUUUGUAAUAUAUGUCCCUGAUUCUCCUUUCACUUAUGCUGCUGUAAAUCUGGGGGGGAAAAAAGAUCUCCAUGGAUUUUCAUAAACUUACUCUGCUCAAAAGCUGAUAUAGCUGAGAAAGAAUCAAAUGUUCUUCAUUUAAAUAUUGAUUGUGCACUUAGGAAAUUAAAAUAGUUGUGAUGCAUACACCGAAAAUAAAUAUUUUUUUUAAUAUAUAUUAACUUCUGUAAGAUUACAGGCUUAGAGAGAAUUCCAAGUAACUAGCUUGUCUGAAAUGAAAACAUGAAUAUUCCUAACAAAAGGGUUUUGUAUUGAAGGGAUUAGAGGGCAGCAGGUAGCUUGGAAGCCUUUGGAAUAUCCGGUAUAAAAACAGGUCAUUUUUAAUAUAAAAAAAAAAAGCAACAAACUUUAAUACAGAACAACAGAUUGUGCUAAACUCACAAUCCCCUUUCUUCUCCCUCUGACAUGCAAACACCUGACACACAAAGGGAGUCACAUUCAGAAGGAGAUUAUGAUGCAAUGAUCUCGUUGUGAAUGUUGCAUUAUGGUUUCAGCAUCGCUGUAAGAGCUCCCCUGGCACUUGUGCUUACAGCAAUUUGAAUUUCUGUGGCAGCUAGGUAUGAUUUGUGACAGAUUUCAGCCUUGCUCUUCAUUGAAGGAGUACAUUGGCAAGUGCUUGAGGUAUUUACCAUGGAGAUUGGAAAGAAGAAAAUGUAAAGAGAAACAUCUGAGUUCUCCUCCCCCACCAUUUCCCACUACUACCACCAUCACCGAUCAUUAGAUGGCACUUCUGGAUUUCAAUAAAGAGCUGCUUUCCUGCAUCUUUUCCCA